UGUUGUGUUGAUUGUUGAAACUUAAUUGUGGUUUUGCGGUGGUUCUGCUGUGGGUUAUAAUAGGGAUUCGGGUAACAGGAAUCAUGUUUCUUUGCUAGUAUUAAUACUGAGAUUUGAUCUCUGUUUCGAUUGCAUGUCUUACAUCGUGGUCUGAUUUUUAUAUGGAUAUGUAUGAAUAUAUUGUGAUCGUUUCUCGAUUUUGAUAUGCAUGAUUUAUAUGGGGUAUCUUUAUGUUACGUAUGAUACGAAAAUGCAAAGGUCUCUGUGAAUGGGAAUGAUUACUGAAUGAAUGAAAUGGAUAUGCAUGACCGAUUGUUUACAGUAUAAAGUGGAUACAUUAUGUUGUCUUAUAUAGCUAAUUGGAUGAGUAUGAGCAUAUGUGAUGACAGUACAGGUUGGGUGACCCGGGAUGAGCUCUGGGGAGGGCCCUUCUAAACGGCUGAUACCGUAAUCUAUGACUGAUACUACAGUUUAUUGUUAGCUUCGGCUAUAUGAUUGCAUGUUCUCUAGGAGGUGAGGACAUCACCCAGGAUAUGACGGAAGACAUACGGACGGAGUAGGCGAGGAGGCGAGAUGGAUGCAAGGCACUAUCCGGACAUUUAGGAGUGCAAAGCUUACUUGCUCUGUUGUGGGAGGUUCUUUAUUUGUAUCGGGGGAUGUUCCAGAAUACAUUGUUCUUAUUUGUUGAACUCAUGUUUGGGAUGCUGCCAUUACAUUGGAUAAGAUAUUUUAUUUCGAUGGAUUUGUACUGCGGUUA